GACGAACGCUCGCGGCGUGCUUAACACAUGCAAGUCGAACGGAAAGGCCCUGCUUUUGUGGGGUGCUCGAGUGGCGAACGGGUGAGUAACACGUGAGUAACCUGCCCUUGACUUUGGGAUAACUUCAGGAAACUGGGGCUAAUACCGGAUAGGAGCUCCUGCUGCAUGGUGGGGGUUGGAAAGUUUCGGCGGUUGGGGAUGGACUCGCGGCUUAUCAGCUUGUUGGUGGGGUAGUGGCUUACCAAGGCUUUGACGGGUAGCCGGCCUGAGAGGGUGACCGGCCACAUUGGGACUGAGAUACGGCCCAGACUCCUACGGGAGGCAGCAGUGGGGAAUAUUGCACAAUGGGCGGAAGCCUGAUGCAGCAACGCCGCGUGCGGGAUGACGGCCUUCGGGUUGUAAACCGCUUUCGCCUGUGACGAAGCGUGAGUGACGGUAAUGGGUAAAGAAGCACCGGCUAACUACGUGCCAGCAGCCGCGGUGAUACGUAGGGUGCGAGCGUUGUCCGGAUUUAUUGGGCGUAAAGGGCUCGUAGGUGGUUGAUCGCGUCGGAAGUGUAAUCUUGGGGCUUAACCCUGAGCGUGCUUUCGAUACGGGUUGACUUGAGGAAGGUAGGGGAGAAUGGAAUUCCUGGUGGAGCGGUGGAAUGCGCAGAUAUCAGGAGGAACACCAGUGGCGAAGGCGGUUCUCUGGGCCUUUCCUGACGCUGAGGAGCGAAAGCGUGGGGAGCGAACAGGCUUAGAUACCCUGGUAGUCCACGCUGUAAACGGUGGGUACUAGGUGUGGGGUCCAUUCCACGGGUUCCGUGCCGUAGCUAACGCUUUAAGUACCCCGCCUGGGGAGUACGGCCGCAAGGCUAAAACUCAAAGGAAUUGACGGGGCCCCGCACAAGCGGCGGAGCAUGCGGAUUAAUUCGAUGCAACGCGUAGAACCUUACCUGGGUUUGACAUGGAUCGGGAGUGCUCAGAGAUGGGUGUGCCUCUUUUGGGGUCGGUUCACAGGUGGUGCAUGGCUGUCGUCAGCUCGUGUCGUGAGAUGUUGGGUUAAGUCCCGCAACGAGCGCAACCCUUGUUCACUGUUGCCAGCACGUUAUGGUGGGGACUCAGUGGAGACCGCCGGGGUCAACUCGGAGGAAGGUGGGGAUGACGUCAAGUCAUCAUGCCCCUUAUGUCCAGGGCUUCACGCAUGCUACAAUGGCUGGUACAGAGAGUGGCGAGCCUGUGAGGGUGAGCGAAUCUCGGAAAGCCGGUCUCAGUUCGGAUUGGGGUCUGCAACUCGACCUCAUGAAGUCGGAGCCGCUAGUAAUCGCAGAUCAGCAACGCUGCGGUGAAUACGUUCCCGAGGGCU
rnacentral:rRNA from 1 species